rnacentral:rRNA from 1 species
UUAGUGGCGAACGGGUGAGUAACACGUGAGUAACCUGCCCUUGACUCUGGGAUAAGCCUGGGAAACCGGGUCUAAUACUGGAUACGACCUUCCCGCGCAUGCGGUGUUGGUGGAAAGCUUUUGCGGUUUUGGAUGGACUCGCGGCCUAUCAGCUUGUUGGUGGGGUAAUGGCCUACCAAGGCGACGACGGGUAGCCGGCCUGAGAGGGUGACCGGCCACACUGGGACUGAGACACGGCCCAGACUCCUACGGGAGGCAGCAGUGGGGAAUAUUGCACAAUGGGCGCAAGCCUGAUGCAGCGACGCCGCGUGAGGGAUGAAGGCCUUCGGGUUGUAAACCUCUUUCAGUAGGGAAGAAGCUGGCCUUUUGGGUUGGUGACGGUACCUGCAGAAGAAGCGCCGGCUAACUACGUGCCAGCAGCCGCGGUAAUACGUAGGGCGCAAGCGUUAUCCGGAAUUAUUGGGCGUAAAGAGCUCGUAGGCGGUUUGUCGCGUCUGCCGUGAAAGUCCGGGGCUUAACUCCGGAUCUGCGGUGGGUACGGGCAGACUAGAGUGCAGUAGGGGAGACUGGAAUUCCUGGUGUAGCGGUGAAAUGCGCAGAUAUCAGGAGGAACACCGAUGGCGAAGGCAGGUCUCUGGGCUGUAACUGACGCUGAGGAGCGAAAGCAUGGGGAGCGAACAGGAUUAGAUACCCUGGUAGUCCAUGCCGUAAACGUUGGGCACUAGGUGUGGGGGACAUUCCACGUUUUCCGCGCCGUAGCUAACGCAUUAAGUGCCCCGCCUGGGGAGUACGGCCGCAAGGCUAAAACUCAAAGGAAUUGACGGGGGGCCCGCACAAGCGGCGGAGCAUGCGGAUUAAUUCGAUGCAACGCGAAGAACCUUACCAAGGCUUGACAUGAACCGGAAUGAUGCAGAGAUGUGUCAGCCACUUGUGGCCGGUUUACAGGUGG